rnacentral:rRNA from 1 species
ACUCUGUCGUGGGGGAUAACGUAGGGAAACUUACGCUAAUACCGCAUACGACCUACGGGUGAAAGCAGGGGAUCUUCGGACCUUGCGCGAUUGAAUGAGCCGAUGUCGGAUUAGCUAGUUGGCGGGGUAAAGGCCCACCAAGGCGACGAUCCGUAGCUGGUCUGAGAGGAUGAUCAGCCACACUGGAACUGAGACACGGUCCAGACUCCUACGGGAGGCAGCAGUGGGGAAUAUUGGACAAUGGGCGCAAGCCUGAUCCAGCCAUACCGCGUGGGUGAAGAAGGCCUUCGGGUUGUAAAGCCCUUUUGUUGGGAAAGAAAUCCAGCCGGCUAAUACCCGGUUGGGAUGACGGUACCCAAAGAAUAAGCACCGGCUAACUUCGUGCCAGCAGCCGCGGUAAUACGAAGGGUGCAAGCGUUACUCGGAAUUACUGGGCGUAAAGCGUGCGUAGGUGGUCGUUUAAGUCCGUUGUGAAAGCCCUGGGCUCAACCUGGGAACUGCAGUGGAUACUGGGCGACUAGAGUGUGGUAGAGGGUAGCGGAAUUCCUGGUGUAGCAGUGAAAUGCGUAGAGAUCAGGAGGAACAUCCAUGGCGAAGGCAGCUACCUGGACCAACAC